AGUCUAAUUGCAAGGAUAGUGUAUUGCUAAAUUAGAAGGAUCAAGAAAGUUGUUUGGAUGAGUGUGAACCCUAAGCACACUCGCACCAUCACACCCUUCUAACGUCUCUUCCUUCUCUAACGUCCUUCUUCCUUCUUCCCCUUCCCUCCAUUGCUGAACACCGCAACCCAUCGCGCCAGUCCACCACCGGCGAUCCACCCGGCGCCGCCGUCACCCUUUCUUCUUCUACCUUCUAUCUUCUUUCCCUCUCUUUCGUCCCUUCUUGCCCCUUCUCUCUCUGGUCCUAUAUCUUCCAUCCUUCCAUCUCUGUCCCAACAGCCGCCGUCACCACCAACCACAACACUCACACUACGAUUCUUCUCCCACUUACUCCAAUCGAGCUUCACAUUCCUUCACCGUUCCAUUUCCUCCAUUGUCUUUGGAAAAUAUGAACAGGGCGUGACCCCUGUUUCUUUCACCGUCGCUCCUGCCUCAACCCUGCAUCAGCCAGCUUGGCCGGCCGUUCUGCUGUGGCUACACCCCGUCACCCUUCCCCUUCCAUCUUUUUGUUCCUUUCUACAUUUUCAGAUGGCUGACAGAAAGGGAAAGGGCAAGGCCACAGGGUCUGAAAAGAGGAAAUAGACCUCAGAGUCCACUGAGACAUCUGAUGCAGUGAUGCACCGCUACUUGGUGGGUGCAUCCUAUGCUGAAUUUAGGGGAUUUUAUCACCCUUUUCCCACAUUUACCCACUAAAAUAGUAUGGUUUCGUGAUUGUCUCCUAAUUUGUGCUUAAGUGUGAAAACAUGUUUUUUAAGCCUUAAUUAGCUAAAUUUAAUUCACCUUUGAUUCCAUUAGAUGCCUUGAUGUGUGUGUUAGUAAUUUCAGGUUGAAAAGGCUAGGAAUUGAUCAAAAGAAUGAAGAGAAAAGCACGCAAAGCGGAGAAAUCAUAGAAAAUCAAGGAUUGGGAGAAAUUCACUCCACGCGCACGCGCAGCAGACGCGCACGCGUGGAUUGUGACGUCGCAUGGCGACGCGUACGCGUACAUGGCGCGUACGCGUGGAUGGAAAAUUGUCAAGCGACGCGUACGCAUGACCUACGCGUACGCGUCGAUGUUCGCACGUGACCCACUUAAAGUGAAUCCGCUGGGGGCGAUUUCUGGGCUUCCCAGGCCAAGAUCCAACUCAUUUCUGAUGCUAUUUAACCCAAGGAAUGAAAAACUAAGAUGCUACCCGAUCCUAAUUGAUCCUUGAAUUCAAAUCCGCAUCAGAAAUUGACUUAACUAGAUACUAUAUAAAUGGGCUCGACAAAAACCUUGUAUAGCUUCUUCGAUUUCUCGAUAAAAAGAAAUAUGACCAACAGUAGUUCGAAUGUAUAUGCAACGAAUUUGUUUUUUUAUACUUCUUA